AGAGUUUGAUCCUGGCUCAGGAUGAACGCUAGCGGCAGGCCUAAUACAUGCAAGUCGAGGGGUAAGAGUCAGCUUGCUGACUACACGACCGGCGCACGGGUGCGUAACGCGUAUGCAACCUACCUUUAACAGAGGAAUAGCCCCGAGAAAUCGGGAUUAAUACCACAUAACAUUAUGAUAUGGCAUCAUAUUAUAAUUAAAACUCCGGUGGUUAAAGAUGGGCAUGCGUGACAUUAGCUAGUUGGUGAGGUAACUGCUCACCAAGGCUACGAUGUCUAGGGGUUCUGAGAGGAUGAUCCCCCACACUGGUACUGAGACACGGACCAGACUCCUACGGGAGGCAGCAGUAAGGAAUAUUGCGCAAUGGAGGCAACUCUGACGCAGCCAUGCCGCGUGCAGGAUUGAAGGCCUUAUGGGUCGUAAACUGCUUUUAUUUAGGAAUAAACUUUCGUACGUGUACGAAACUGAAGGGUACUAAACGAAUAAGCA
rnacentral:rRNA from 1 species